GACGAACGCUGGCGGCGUGCUUAACACAUGCAAGUCGAACGGAAAGGCCCUGCUUUUGUGGGGUGCUCGAGUGGCGAACGGGUGAGUAACACGUGAGUAACCUGCCCUUGACUUUGGGAUAACUUCAGGAAACUGGGGCUAAUACCGGAUAGGAGCUCCUGCUGCAUGGUGGGGGUUGGAAAGUUUCGGCGGUUGGGGAUGGACUCGCGGCUUAUCAGCUUGUUGGUGGGGUAGUGGCUUACCAAGGGUUUGACGGGUAGCCGGCCUGAGAGGGUGACCGGCCACAUUGGGACUGAGAUACGGCGCAGACUCCUACGGGAGGCAGCAGUGGGGAAUAUUGCACAAUGGGCGGAAGCCUGAUGCAGCAACGCCGCGUUCGGGAUGACGGCCUUCGGGUUGUAAACCGCUUUCGCCUGUGACGAAGCGUGAGUGACGGUAAUGGGUAAAGAAGCACCGGCUAACUACGUG
rnacentral:rRNA from 1 species